GUUAGACUUGAAGGCCUAGCGAAAAAUAUUUAGUUGUCGGUUAGACGGAGCAGGUUUUUUCCGUUAAGAGACUUAAGUUAAUAAGAGGUGAAAUUCAAGUAUUAUGGAAUCAUAUUAAGUUUCUACUGGAAGGCCCCAAGGUUGAGGCCGUGAAGUUCUAGAUAUGGACCAGGAUUAGAUACCCUGUUACACUAGAAGGUAAAUAAACAUGUCGACUGGAGUAGUUAUAAUAAAUUUGUUUAAAAUUCAAAGAACCUGGCGGUACUUUAGUCUAGUUAGAGGAACCUGUUGUAUAAACGAUAAACCACGUAAGAUCUUUCUCACUCUCGUAAAGCCAGUAUACCUUCAUUGUUAGAUAAUCUUUUCUUACAUGGAUUAUUGGAAUUGGGUUACCAAGUAUAUUAGAUCAAGGUGCUGCUGAUGAGUGAGUACAAAUGGGUUACAGUAUUUUUUUGGAGAGGCGGAUAAUAUCAAGAAUUUGAUAUUUGAAGAUGGAUUUAAUUGUAAGUUUUGGUUUUAGUAAGGCAAAAUGAUAGUAGCUCUAAAGUGUGUACAUAUUGCCCGUCGCUUUCAUUAAGUCAGAUGAGAUAAGUCNACCAAAAGNAGAA
rnacentral:rRNA from 1 species